rnacentral:rRNA from 1 species
GUCACGAGUUUGAUCCUGGCUCAGAACGAACGCUGGCGGCAUGCCUAACACAUGCAAGUCGAACGAGAUCUUCGGAUCUAGUGGCGCACGGGUGCGUAACGCGUGGGAAUCUGCCCUUUGCUUCGGAAUAACAGUUAGAAAUGACUGCUAAUACCGGAUGAUGUCUUCGGACCAAAGAUUUAUCGGCAAAGGAUGAGCCCGCGUAGGAUUAGGUAGUUGGUGGGGUAAAGGCCUACCAAGCCGACGAUCCUUAGCUGGUCUGAGAGGAUGAUCAGCCACACUGGGACUGAGACACGGCCCAGACUCCUACGGGAGGCAGCAGUGGGGAAUAUUGGACAAUGGGCGAAAGCCUGAUCCAGCAAUGCCGCGUGAGUGAUGAAGGCCUUCGGGUCGUAAAGCUCUUUACCAGGGAUGAUAAUGACAGUACCUGGAGAAUAAGCUCCGGCUAACUCCGUG